rnacentral:lncRNA from 1 species
GUGCGUUCAAUCUUAUUCAACUUUUCAAAGUCAAAUUUUUAUUCUUUUCUAUGACAUAUUUCUAACUUUGGAUUUCUUAAAUUGUGCCCUAAGGAUACAAGAUAACAAGACCCUUAUUAUUAUUAUCGUUAACGGUGGCACUAAUGGCCAUUGUACAAUUCUCUUUUAUGGAUAAAGAAAAAGUAUUGACAUUCUAGAGAAAUCAUAGAAGUAAAAACAAUAUAUUUUCAAGUACAACUUUAUUUUACUAAGUACCAUGAAAUUAUUUUUUAUCAUAUUUUCUAGAUUGACUCACAACGACAUAUAAACUUUAAGCAUUGUAAAGGUAAAGGAGAUCCGACACACAAAUUCUGAGGACAAUCUUUAAUGGAUAAGCAGUAAAAUUCUGUUAUGAUGCCAAAUAUGAAAAAGUAAAUGUUAGUAAUAGGGAAUGAAACCUUUUGUAUAAGAUAAAAUAAGAAGAAAAAAAAAAGAAUAUUGACUUACCGCCUUUGAUUCCUAUGAUAAAAAUCAAAAGACAAAAAAUCAUAAUAGAAAUAAAAUUGUGAAUUUCAGCCAUAUUUUUCUUUGUUUGUAUGUA